UUUCUUUGAUUAGCGGCAGUUCCUCUGACGGGGGAGCGCUCGUCUUCAGGACGGAAAUGAAAAGAGCGACUCGGGGGGUGAAGAAAGACUCUUACACAUCUGCUGUGCUACUGCUGUUAUCAUCCAUGACUGUGUAUGGAGGGAUUCUGACCUGACAACUGAACAUUACUAAUUAAACUACAAACAACAAUCAAAACAAAAUCCUUACUCAAGAAAAAAUAUUAAACUUACUUAAACACGAAUCGAAACAAAAAAUACUUCACAUCACCCCCCAUGACGUGGCGAGGAAUGGUACGGUCCAAUUUGGCCCCCUCCCCUAUAAAACAGCUCUCGCUCCAAGUGUCUCCAGCCGAAAGCAAAGGAACCGUUCCAGGAGCGUGGAACUGCAAGACACUGUGAGACCUGGAGCUUCGGCUGCUCUGGUUCCAGCCUCUGACUUGAGAUGACGCGACUAAGUGUCCGCACAGGAAAUGAUGAAGGCCGGUGAUGAGGCGGUGAGGCGGAAAGAGAUGAUUUUAAUUUAUUAAACUGACGAUUAAAGCUGCUUCCUUUCACUUCACCUCACCCAGAAAUCCUGUGACGCAGAGUCACGCAGCGACGCAGGACUCUGGAUGACUGGUGUGUGUGUGUGUGUGUGUGUGUGUGUGUCCUCGCUGACUGCAGGUUUAAUGGUGAAGUGGAGCAGUGAUGAACAUGCUGUGGCGAACAGCUGGCUGGAGAAAAAACCGUCCAGCGGCAGACAGAAGUUACAGGUGUGACCUUGGCGUGUGCAGAUUUACUCAUCAGAGGACGGACUCUGCAGCUGGAGCGUGUGGACCAGCGGCCUCACGGGGCCGAGCGGAGCCGGAGGUCCGAACCCGAGUCCUAACGUCUCCCAGAGACAAACCUGCACUGUGAAGACGUCUGCAGCUUUUACCGAUCUUUAUUUAUGAUUUUUAUUUACACCGGCUUCAUAUUGUUUUUCUCAUCCAUAAACCAUAAUACAGACCAAGUUCACAAUCUA